rnacentral:rRNA from 1 species
GACGAGGGGUCCUAGCGUUGUUCGGAAUCACUGGGCGUAAAGCGCAUGUAGGCGGCUUUGUAAGUCAGAUGUGAAAUCCCAUGGCUCAACCAUGGAACUGCAUUUGAAACUGCAAAGCUUGAGUACGAUAGAGGAUGGUAGAAUUCCUGGUGUAGUGGUGAAAUACGUAGAUAUCAGGAGGAACACCGGUGGCGAAGGCGGCCAUCUGGAUCGAUACUGACGCUGAGAUGCGAAAGCGUGGGGAGCAAACAGG